CAGACGGGAGACCCUCCGUCUGACUUGUUCGGGACAUUCUGGAAAUGAAAAUAAAAUGUCUGAAAUUAAGAAUUCAUUGCAUAGUCUAAUAGCAGUCUGGACACAACCUACGACAGGGUUAGUGAACUGGAAGCUUGGGGAACGUCCACGCUGAAGCUUGUAGGGAAAGAAACAAAAGAGGGGACACCUGGAUGCUUCAGUCCGUAAGCAUCUGCCUUCAGCUGAGGUCAUGAUUCC